AAAACGGCAUCAAACCCAGCCCCACGCCCCUCACUCCUCCCUCCUCCUCCUCCUCCUUCUUCUACGCCGUAGGAGCCUCGCCGCCGCCUGCUACUCCUCCACCGCCUCGCCUCUUUCUCCUCCCUGCCUUCCCAUCGCUCGCGUGCAGGCCAUCGUGGCCACGCGCUUCACGGGCGAACCUGAUUUCCAACGCCUGCUCCGGGUUUGCGCAGGACGGGCUCCCCUGCAUCCUCCUCCUCGCGGCCGAGGACGACACCUUCGGAGUGAGCUGCGGCGCACGAUUCGAUCUGCGGGAGAGAGAGAAGAUGAGAGGGAGAAGAUGGAAGGAGAGGAGGGAGAAAGAGAGAGAGAGAGGAAAGAGGAGAAGGAGGCGCCGUCGUCCCCUCCACCCAGCCAGCCGUCGCCGCACCUCCUCCACCCGGCCAGCCGCCGCCACUCGCGCCCGUCUCCUCCGGCCAGCCUCCGCCCGCAACCUCCCCCCUCCCGUUUUCACAAGGGAAGGGAAGGUAAGAGACGAGGGAGAGCGAGCGGGUCAGGCGACGGGAAGGGAAGAGGAGAGGAGAGGAAGCCUUGCCGCUGGUCUAGGAGGAGCUCAUCUGCCUGCUUUGAGAUGAAGAGGUGAUAGUUGGAGGAGGGAAUAUGACGUUGGGAGAAGAAGAAGGUUUUCACUGGAAGAAAAAUAACUAAGAUCCCUUCUUUUGACAUGUGCAUCAAGAAUGAACAAAAAGAAGGUACAGAUUGGUUCAUCCAGAUUGUAAUCUUAAGUAGGUGAUAUUUUCUGCUUCGACAUUAGCUUUGGUUUUGGUGUUUUCUGCAGAACCAUGUCAAAAACAUUAAACUGAAGUGCUUUCAUAAUAUGUAGCUUUUAUUUUGAUUCUUUAUAUAUUUGAGAAGAGAUUAUGAUAACCAAGAUAUGUUGUAGCCAUGUUGUUACUAAGAAUACUGCCACACUGCUACGGUCUUGAAUUUGUGGAAGGCAGCAAUGUGCUUGGUCUGGAGUUGGUGUCGCCAUGUGCUAGCAGCCCAUCACUUGAUCUUGAGAUGGUCCCCUGCAUCGCGGAUGCCACAAAUAAGGAAGGCAGACAUCAUUGACGUGCGUGGUAAGAGCUCCAUCUCCCCCACCCAUAGCCCCCAACUUCUGUUUUGGAAGCAUGUCUUCAAUCUUCAUCACCAUCUGCGCCAGUAUCUUGCUUUUGCCUUUCUCCUGUCUUGUGCUCCACCAUUUGUCUCCCCAUCCAGACACACAAUAAACCAGCAUAUCUAAGAGGUCGGUGAGCUGAAGUUUUCCAUGCAGAGUAACUGUGAGAAACAGAAAUUGCUUGAGGCUACUGUGAGAUCUGAAAUCUACCAGUCGGAACUGGCGAACCUAAAAAGAACUUUGACCCUCAUUGGCUUUUUGUGUGGGUUUGCAUCUGUUAUGAUGUGUCUUUAUCAAGUUGCUCCUCCAUACCCCGAGACGCUUGAUGGUGCUGAAUCGUCCCAUCCACAGAGAAUGCAACCCGAGCUUCAUGCCCUUUCAUCCAACAGGAACUCUCUUCGGUGUUAUUUUUGUUGCCAUGAACAAACAGCUUAGAAAGUGAACGUCCCUGAACAUUAUGGAACUCUCAGUUAACUUUGUGUGGUUGGUGAACCUUGCGUUGCUGAUAAAUAUGUCUCUGAAUUUGGUCGAGCCUUGCAAUUUUUCACGUGUUAGAAGACUGUACUCACAUAAAACAGAGUAUUGGUCUAUGGAACUGGAGGCAGUGAGUUUCAAUUCUUAUGAAUUGAUGUUUCUUUAUUUAUUUAGAGCUUCUGUUCAGAUCAUUGACGUUUGCAUAUCCCCUGUUUGUAGUAUAAUUUUGUGUCUCAUAUUAUGACUGCCAUUUUUUUCCUCUACAGCAUGUAAAUUUCGGAUUCAGUUUACUGAUCUUUGAAAGUCAUGUAUAACUUGGCAGAAAUGUUAUCCCUACAAAUAAGAACACCUUUAUUCUUUAUUGUGCAGCAACCAUGUUGACAAGCUGGCAUCUUUGUUCUAUUCUAUUGACUUCAUGUGGCAUUAUGUAUGAAGCCCUUUAAGCACAAACCUCGCAAGGACCGUCAUGGGAUUUGGAGUGCUCAAUGGCAUCUUAAUUGGACUUCUCAAUCAGAGUCUAGGUUUCAACUCUGUUGAGUUCUAUCAGAGCAAGUCGAGCGCAUUAGUUGGAUCCAGCUUCUUGAUAUUGCAGAGGGACUCGUCAAAAGGACGGCGCCUCCCUGCGUUCUCGAUCUGACGCCCGCCACAUAUCGUGAUUCUGGAUUGGGCGCAGGUCGUCGCCAUAAGAGAGCCUGGCUGGUGUGGUCUUCAUGCUUGGUGUGGAGAAGCAGGGGAGGAUGAGUAGGAUGGGCAUGGGGAAGGAGCAGCCAGGCCAGAGCUCUGGCGUUGCUUGCGUCAUGGUCAAAUGGAGCCGGCCCUCGCUAUGGGCUGCUGAUCGCCGGUCGUCGUUCCCCAAUCUCAGUUGCUCAUCUUUGGCUCACCAUCUUCCUCCCCUGAUCAUGCAUCUAUUUUAGAUCAUUUAAUUAUGCUAUAUCAUAUAUGUUGUUUAGUUCAGGCUUGUGCAUGUGCAUGCAUUGGCAUUGAUUUAGACAGAGAUAUUGCAUGAUUUGUACAUAAAAGGAGUACGGGUGAUCUAAGAAUAAAUGUUCGAAUAUAGUAGUGAGAUUUGGGUAGAGGUUACCUGCACUGUUCUGUUUUAUGUAGAUUCUAAGCUGCAAAAUCAUACAUGGUCCUGUUAGUAGUUUGUUUGAGUUGUGAGUUUACGCAUUUUCCCUUGGAA